UCGGCAUGUCUAGUUAGCGUUUACUUUGCGACUCUGCAAGUGGCUCUAUAUAUCUUAUAUUUUCUUUUCUAUUCCCUUACAACUUGGAUAACCCCGUAAAUUCUCUAGCUAAUACAUGCGCAUAAAUACCCGACUUUUGGGAUUGAUUACAUUUAUUCCAACCCCUUCAUGGUCUGUGGCGGUUUGUGUUGAAUCAUAAUAACUGUGGGGAUGGCAACAAUGCCACAAAUCGAUUGACUUUCUGCCCUAUCAGCUUUGGAUGGGUAGAUAUGGGCCUACCAUGGCACCAACGGGUAACGAAUGAAUGGGGCGGGGGCGGCCGGCCGGGCGCGGCGCGCGGCGGGCGACA
rnacentral:rRNA from 1 species